AUGUGCAUCCUCACAGGUGUAUAUCCUCACAGGUGUGCAUCCUCACAGGUGUAUAUCCUCACAGGUGUAUAUCCUCACAGGUAUACAUCCUCACAGGUGUGCAUCCUCACAGGUGUAUAUCCUCACAGGUGUAUAUCCUCACAGGUAUACAUCCUCACAGGUGUAUAUCCUCACAGGUGUGCAUCCUCACAGGUGUAUAUCCUCACAGGUAUACAUCCUCACAGGUGUAUAUCCUCACAGGUGUAUAUCCUCACAGGUGUAUAUCCUCACAGGUUUAUAUCCUCACAGGUAUACAUCCUCACAGGUUUAUAUCCUCACAGGUGUAUAUCCUCACAGGUUUAUAUCCUCACAGGUGUAUAUCCUCACAGGUGUAUAUCCUCACAGGUGUACAUCCUCACAGGUGUAUAUCCUCACAGGUAUACAUCCUCACAGGUUUAUAUCCUCACAGGUGUAUAUCCUCACAGGUGUAUAUCCUCACAGGUGUGCAUCCUCACAGGUGUAUAUCCUCACAGGUGUAUAUCCUCACAGGUAUACAUCCUCACAGGUUUAUAUCCUCAAAGGUGUAUAUCCUCACAGGUUUAUAUCCUCACAGGUGUAUAUCCUCACAGGUAUACAUCCUCACAGGUGUAUAUCUUCACAGAUGUGCAUCCUCACAGGUGUAUAUCCUCACAGGUUUAUAUCCUCACAGGUGUAUAUCCUCACAGGUAUACAUCCUCACAGGUGUAUAUCUUCACAGGUGUGCAUCCUCACAGGUAUAAAUCCUCACAGGUUUAUAUCCUCAAAGGUGUAUAUCCUCACAGGUUUAUAUCCUCACAGGUGUAUAUCCUCACAGGUAUACAUCCUCACAGGUGUAUAUCUUCACAGAUGUGCAUCCUCACAGGUGUAUAUCCUCACAGGUGUAUAUCCUCACAGGUAUACACCCUCACAGGUGUAUAUCUUCACAGGUGUGCAUCCUCACAGGUAUACAUCCUCACAGGUUUAUAUCCUCACAGGUGUAUAUCCUCACAGGUGUAUAUCCUCACAGGUGUGCAUCCUCACAGGUUUAUAUCCUCAAAGGUGUAUAUCCUCACAGGUGAAAAACGUGCUCACCAUAUAGCAGGGGCCCCAGGAGUGGUUGUUGAAUGGGUUGGUAGGUUAAGUAACUGGUUAUAA
rnacentral:lncRNA from 1 species